rnacentral:rRNA from 1 species
AUACGUAGGGGGCGAGCGUUGUCCGGAAUGAUUGGGCGUAAAGGGCGCGUAGGCGGCGCGGUAAGUCUGGAGUGAAAGUCCUGCUUUCAAGGGGGGAAUUGCUUUGGAUACUGCCGCGCUUGAGUGCAGGAGAGGUUAUCGGAAUUCCCGGUGUAGCGGUGAAAUGCGUAGAGAUCGGGAGGAACACCAGUGGCGAAGGCGGGUAACUGGACUGCAACUGACGCUGAGGCGCGAAAGUGUGGGGAGCAAACAGGAUUAGAUACCCUGGUAGUCCACACUGUAAACGAUGAAUGCUAGGUGUAAGAGGUAUCGACCCCUUUUGUGCCGGAGUCAACACAAUAAGCAUUCCGCCUGGGGAGUACGGCCGCAAGGUUGAAACUUAAAGGAAUUGACGGGG